GCCCUUGUAAGUUCAUUGUCUUUGGCAGUCCCUUCUUCCCCAAUCCCUCCACGCUCCCCCUCCUUCAGUUUAAUUUCAGGCAUUUGUGAAAGGGGUAUUUUCUUCUCUCCAUCCCUGCUGCAGAGCACCGUACUUGGCAUUUAAAAUCAUAAAAUCUACGGGGCUCCCUAUGCAUGAGGGCAGCCGGAGCAGGAGAUGCCAUGGACCCAGCUGAUGCCUCCUUUGCUGGAGCUUGGAACAGACUCACGGCCAGCAACGUGAGUUCAAUGGCUAAAGUGACAUAUCCUGCCCAAGGGGGGCUCAUAACCCAAUUCAGACUACUCUCCCCUGUC
rnacentral:ncRNA from 2 species